rnacentral:rRNA from 1 species
AGCAGCCGCGGUAAUUCCAGCUCCAAUAGCGUAUAUUAAAGUUGUUGCAGUUAAAAAGCUCGUAGUUGAAUUUCGGGAUCAAUAUGUCGGUCGUGCCUCGGUACGUACUGGCGUCAUUGGUUUCUCCCUUCUGAAGAACCGCGAUGUCAUUAAUUUGGUGUCGUGGGGAAUCAGGACUGUUACUUUGAAAAAAUUAGAGUGUUUAAAGCAGGCUCGCGCUUGAAUACAUUAGCAUGGAAUAAUGAAAUAGGACGUUUGAUUCUAUUUUGUUGGUUUCUAGGAUCGACGUAAUGAUUAAUAGGGAUAGUUGGGGGCAUUAGUAUUCAAUUGUCAGAGGUGAAAUUCUUGGAUUUAUUGAAGACUAACUACUGCGAAAGCAUUUGCCAAGGAUGUUUUCAUUAAUCAAGAACGAAAGUUAGGGGAUCGAAGACGAUCAGAUACCGUCGUAGUCUUAACCAUAAACUAUGCCGACUAGGGAUCGGAUGAUGUUAAUUUUUUAAUGACUCAUUCGGCGCCUUAAC